rfam:Schistosoma haematobium scaffold1114_5, whole genome shotgun sequence.
AUCUAGCUGACGAGUCCCAAAUAGAAAGAAAUGCGUGUCCUGGAU